rnacentral:rRNA from 1 species
GGGCGGGGGCCGCAGCUACCAUGCAGUCGAGCGGUAGCACAGGGGAGCUUGCUCCCCGGGUGACGAGCGGCGGACGGGUGAGUAAUGUCUGGGAAACUGCCUGAUGGAGGGGGAUAACUACUGGAAACGGUAGCUAAUACCGCAUAACGUCGCAAGACCAAAGAGGGGGACCUUCGGGCCUCUUGCCAUCAGAUGUGCCCAGAUGGGAUUAGCUAGUAGGUGGGGUAAUGGCUCACCUAGGCGACGAUCCCUAGCUGGUCUGAGAGGAUGACCAGCCACACUGGAACUGAGACACGGUCCAGACUCCUACGGGAGGCAGCAGUGGGGAAUAUUGCACAAUGGGCGCAAGCCUGAUGCAGCCAUGCCGCGUGUGUGAAGAAGGCCUUCGGGUUGUAAAGCACUUUCAGCGAGGAGGAAGGUGGUGAGCUUAAUACGCUCAUCAAUUGACGUUACUCGCAGAAGAAGCACCGGCUAACUCCGUGCCAGCAGCCGCGGUAAUACGGAGGGUGCAAGCGUUAAUCGGAAUUACUGGGCGUAAAGCGCACGCAGGCGGUUUGUUAAGUCAGAUGUGAAAUCCCCGGGCUCAACCUGGGAACUGCAUUUGAAACUGGCAAGCUAGAGUCUCGUAGAGGGGGGUAGAAUUCCAGGUGUAGCGGUGAAAUGCGUAGAGAUCUGGAGGAAUACCGGUGGCGAAGGCGGCCCCCUGGACGAAGACUGACGCUCAGGUGCGAAAGCGUGGGGAGCAAACAGGAUUAGAUACCCUGGUAGUCCACGCUGUAAACGAUGUCGAUUUGGAGGUUGUGCCCUUGAGGCGUGGCUUCCGGAGCUAACGCGUUAAAUCGACCGCCUGGGGAGUACGGCCGCAAGGUUAAAACUCAAAUGAAUUGACGGGGGCCCGCACAAGCGGUGGAGCAUGUGGGUUUAAUUCGAUGCAACGCGAAGAACCUUACCUACUUCUUGACAUCCAGGAGGAACUUACCAGAGAUGCUUUGGUUGCCCUUCGGGGAACUUCUUGAAGAACAGGUUGCUGCAUGGCUGUCGUCAAGCUCCGUGUUGGUGAAAUGUUGGGGUAAGUUCCCAGCCAACGAGCCGCAAUCCCUUAUUCGUUGUUGCAGCGGAAUCGGGCCGGGGACUUCAAAGGAGACUUGCCAG